rnacentral:rRNA from 1 species
AUGUGGGGAUAAUUUAUCUCCGUGUUGUAGCUAACGCGUUAAGCACUCCGCCUGGGGACUACGGUCGCAAGACUAAAACUCAAAGGAAUUGACGGGGACCCGCACAAGCGGUGGAGCAUGUGGUUUAAUUCGAUGCAACGCGAAAAACCUUACCACUCCUUGACAUGGAGAUUAGAUCCUUCUUAACAGAAGGGCGCAGUUCGGCUGGAUCUCGCACAGGUGCUGCAUGGCUGUCGUCAGCUCGUGUCGUGAGAUGUUGGGUUAAGUCCCGCAACGAGCGUAACCCUCAUCCUUAGUUGCCAGCGGGUAAGCCGGGCACUUUAAGGAAACUGCCGGUGGUAAACCGGAGGAAGGUGGGGAUGAUGUCAAGUCAGCACGGCCCUUAUGGGGUGGGCUACACACGUGCUACAAUGGUGACUACAAUAGGUUGCAAUGUCGCAAGGCUGAGCUAAUCCGUAAAAGUCAUCUCAGUUCGGAUUGUCCUCUGCAACUCGAGGGCAUGAAGCCGGAAUCGCUAGUAAUCGUGGAUCAGCAUGCCACGGUGAAUACGUUCUCGGGUCUUGUACACACUGCCCGUCACGCCAUGGGAAUUGGCUUAACUCGAAGCUGGUGCGCUAACCGAAAGGA